rnacentral:rRNA from 1 species
UACGAAGGGGGCUAGCGUUGCUCGGAAUUACUGGGCGUAAAGGGCGCGUAGGCGGCGCGGCUAGUCAGGCGUGAAAUUCCCGGGCUUAACCUGGGGGCUGCGCUUGAUACGGUCGUGCUAGAGGAUGGAAGAGGCUCGUGGAAUUCCCAGUGUAGAGGUGAAAUUCGUAGAUAUUGGGAAGAACACCGGUGGCGAAGGCGGCGAGCUGGUCCAUUACUGACGCUGAGGCGCGACAGCGUGGGGAGCAAACAGGAUUAG